rnacentral:rRNA from 1 species
UACAGAGGGGGCAAGCGUUGUUCGGAAUUACUGGGCGUAAAGGGCGCGUAGGCGGCCCUCUAAGUCGGACGUGAAAUCCCCGGGCUCAACCCGGGAACUGCGUCCGAUACUGGAGGGCUUGAAUCCGGGAGAGGGAUGCGGAAUUCCAGGUGUAGCGGUGAAAUGCGUAGAUAUCUGGAGGAACACCGGUGGCGAAGGCGGCAUCCUGGACCGGCAUUGACGCUGAUGAGCGAAAGCUAGGGGAGCAAACGGG